rnacentral:rRNA from 1 species
UGGGGAAUAUUGGACAAUGGGCGCAAGCCUGAUCCAGCCAUGCCGCGUGAGUGAUGAAGGCCUUAGGGUUGUAAAGCUCUUUUGUCCGGGACGAUAAUGACGGUACCGGAAGAAUAAGCCCCGGCUAACUUCGUGCCAGCAGCCGCGGUAAUACGAAGGGGGCUAGCGUUGCUCGGAAUCACUGGGCGUAAAGGGCGCGUAGGCGGCCUUGUAAGUUGGGGGUGAAAGCCCGUGGCUCAACCACGGAAUUGCCUUCGAUACUGCUUGGCUUGAGUGUGGUAGAGGUUGGUGGAACUGCGAGUGUAGAGGUGAAAUUCGUAGAUAUUCGCAAGAACACCGGUGGCGAAGGCGGCCAACUGGACCAUCACUGACGCUGAGGCGCGAAAGCGUGGGGAGCAAACA